AACAUUUGAAUUUCAGAUCUUGUGUGGUGUUAACCAAGUUUGAGCACCAGCAUUCCUAAUGUGCAUUGGCCAAUAUCCUGUCUUCUGCUCAUAUAUGUCAAUUUUAGCUGUUUUCCAGAUUUCUCAGUGAAGAAAUGUAAAAGCCCAAGCUCACUAGGGAACUGGACAUGUGAAAAACCCUCCAACCUGAAACACUGGGGAUAUUGGUGAUCUAAAGCCUCUGAGCCUGGAUUGUAAUCCCUCUAUCCUCUUGCCGAUUCCCUUAAUCUCAGCACUUCAGUCAGUCGGAAGCUGCCACGAGAGGACAAGAUUUUCCUGGCCACAGAUGCUUUUGGAGUUUCCCUUCUACAGAAGAAUUUCAGGCAGGUUUCCAACAUCUUACAGCGACAAUUCAACUUUGUCCCUGGCAUGUAAGAUUCUUCCAUGGUCCAAAUGACGAAGACAUCCCUGGAGCAAGGUUUCAUCCAAAUUGUGCCAUAUCAUGAGAACAUUUAAGAAGCCCAAGGAGUGGUACACAUAGCAAGCAACUAAGGCCUCCUUCCAAGAGCCAGCAAGGACCUGAGUCCUCCAGCCAACAGCCAUAUGACUGAGCCAUCUUGCAAGCAUUAUGCAGCCCUAGUCCAGCCUUCAGAUGACUACAGCCCUGGCCAGCACAUCCUGACCAACUCAUGAGAGCUCCUGAGCCAGAACCACCCACCUAAAUCACUACCACAUUCUUGACCCUCAGAAACUGUAUGAGUGUUCAGUUGACAUUCACCUGAACUGCCUUACAGAGGAAGUCUCUAGAUGAUGCUAAGGAAGAGCAAUGAUUCAGGACUCAUUCAAGCUGCACUGCAGGAGGAUGCUGGUGGAAGCCAGCAUAUAAAAUGAGAAAAGUGUGGAACUGAGAUAGACUACAGGCAUGAAAGAAUAGAAGCACCAAAGUUCACUCAGCAGAGCAGAGAAUGAUCUGGACAGAGGAUUUCCUGUGCCAGAGUAGCUAUUUCCAUUGGAUCGGUUGGCUCUCAUUCGUCAUCAUCUAAUUAGUCCAUAUGCCCUCGGCUUGGACCAUCUUCUAUUACCAGGACCUGCUUCAUGGAUGUGCGACCAGUGCCGGCACUUGGGGUUUAAUGCUCUGUAAUUGCCAUCUUGAAAUUCUUAACAAUUUAAUCUUUGAACUUGUGCUAUGUAACUGAAGUCUGAUGGAGCAAUGGAGUAUGGCCAGUGGCUGGGAGCCUUGGUUCAGGUGGGGUUCUGUCUCCUCCCGCCUCAGUGUCUCCCCAGGACAGAUGCUCAGGCACCUGCUCCCUGCUCCUCCCAGCAACCACCUUGUUGCCUCGACCUCCAGUGGGGGCCUUGGUGUGGGUGCUGGGAUGGUUGGCAUUGGGAGGCAUCCCAUGUGCCCAGUGGUUGGGUGGGGUUAUGAGGUCUUCACUCUGCCAAGAGAGUGC
rnacentral:lncRNA from 1 species